UACGUAGGGUGCAAGCGUUGUCCGGAAUUAUUGGGCGUAAAGAGCUCGUAGGCGGUCUGUCGCGUCUGCUGUGAAAACUCAGGGCUUAACCCUGAGCUUGCAGUUGAUACGGGCAGGCUAGAGUUCGGUAGGGGAGACUGGAAUUCCUGGUGUAGCGGUGAAAUGCGCAGAUAUCAGGAGGAACACCGGUGGCGAAGGCGGGUCUCUGGGCCGAUACUGACGCUGAGGAGCGAAAGCGUGGGGGAGCGAACAGG
rnacentral:rRNA from 1 species